AUUGAACGCUGGCGGCAGGCUUAACACAUGCAAGUCGAACGAGCGGCGGACGGGUGAGUAAUUUCUGGGAAACUGCCUGAUGGAGGGGGAUAACUACUGGAAACGGUAGCUAAUACCGCAUACCAUCAGAUGUGCCCAGAUGGGAUUAGCUAGUAGGUGGGGUAAUGGCUCACCUAGGCAACGAUCCCUAGCUGGUCUGAGAGGAUGACCAGCCAGACUGGAACGGAGACACGGUCCAGACGCCUACGGGAGGCAGCAGUGGGGAAUAUUGCAGAAUGGGCGCAAGCCUGAUGCAGACAUGCCGCGUGUGUGAAGAAGGCCUUCGGGUUGUAAAGCACUUUCAGCGAGGAGGCGGUACUCGCAGAAGAAGCACCGGCUAACUCCGUGCCAGCAGCCGCGGUAAUAC
rnacentral:rRNA from 1 species